rnacentral:rRNA from 1 species
UGUUCCUAACCCUGAUGAGGCCGUCCCUAGUUUUGUUUCUGGUGCUAUGGCUAAAGCUGGUAAAGGACUUCUUGAAGGUACGUUGCAGGCUGGCACUUCUGCCGUUUCUGAUAAGUUGCUUGAUUUGGUUGGACUUGGUGGCAAGUCUGCCGCUGAUAAAGGAAAGGAUACUCGUGAUUAUCUUGCUGCUGCAUUUCCUGAGCUUAAUGCUUGGGAGCGUGCUGGUGCUG